ACUGAGGAGGAUGUGUCACUAUAGACAAGGCAGAUGUGUCCAGUAAAGACUGUUCCUAGAGGAACUCAGCUAUGAGCCAUCGAACAACAAACACAUCUGGAAGAUGGAGGAAGGAGCAAGUACCUCCGUCCUGAAGAGAAAUCUGGUCUGCACAUAACGGUCUUCACCCUAGAGGGUUUAAAGGGGACGAUAAGAAUGAAGAGACUCAAACAAUCGUAAGAAGAGUUCUUGCUUAAGACAGCAUUUGUACCAGCUAGUCCAGAACCUGCUCCGUGAUCAGACCAGCUGAGCCUGACAUCUGCACCCUUCUAACUGCCCUGACUUCCAUGACCUCCAUCUCUGCUUGGGUUUGAUGGACAGAGGGCAUCAAUGAAAGACCAGGCAGUAGAAGACAAAGGCCCUUUCAAUGUCAGACCAUAGCUGGCUGCUGAGUCCCCCAUUCCUCCAAGUCUCUGCUCUCCAAAGACCACCUGCUUUUAGUCCAGCCUGCCACGAAGUUCUCCUCUGUCACCCUUGAGACCUUCUGUUUCUUGCCUGGCUGAAUUCCUUGAAAAAGAGGAAAAACUGGGACAUUGGCUUCCUGGAUCUAGCCUUUCCGAGAUGCCAGGAUUCCAGGAUCUCUGUGGACACCUGACUGCCCUGGUACAGCAUGCCCGGCCUGCGCCAGGCUCCCACCAGCCUUAUUUAUUUAUUGAACAACAUGCAAGCACAGUUUCCCUUUGUGCUUAAUGUGUCAGCGCUUCACUGGAUUCGGACUUCAAGGCUUGGAUUUUGUUGACAAUAAUGAGAUCACCCAGACAAUUAUCGUUUGAUUUUUCAGUUUGCUGGAAGAUUAAAGAAAGUUAAGACGCUUUGACUGUUUCCUGUUACCCAUUUGCUGGGGGGCAGGGAUGGGGUGAGGGACAGGGUGGAACAGAAGAUCUCACUGUCUCAAUUGUCCACUUCAGGAGCUGUUUAUGCAGCACGGGCAUCUUCCUGAUCACCGAAAGGUCCCUAUAUGUGUAGAGGAUCUUCAGGUACCUCAAAAGUCCAGGUGGGGCUGAAGGUGUCUGCCCCCGCACCCGAGGCUUCAGCUGACAUCAUGGAGGAAGAGAUGGCCACUGAAAUCUGACACUGCUGUCAAUAAGAUUAUUGCCGUUUUUGUUUACCCAGCCAUAAAUUUGUUGACUUGGGAAAGCAGCUUUCUUUAAGCCUCAGUUUCCCCAUCUGCAAAGUGAGGGAUGGUUGAGUCAGGUGAUCAAACUGCUCUUGGUCCUGGUUUCGAGAUCCAUUUUAACUUGCAGGGUUAGAUUUCUGAGAUGAGGUGAGGUUCAGACUAGGUGAAUCUCAAAGGCUGCUGAGGGGAAGAGGUGCUAGAGGCAAAAUCAGGUGUCAGAGCCCUCUUGGUUCUUGCACACACCCACCAGGACAGAUGAGUCCUAGGGUCCCUGAGGUCCCAGGGGAAGAAGCAGAAUCAUGACAGGGCAGAGGGAUGUGGCAGGACUCUGAUUCCUCUCCCAUCCUUCUGUCUGGGUCUCCCAGCUGGGAAGGCCUGAGUAUCAACCCCACUGACUUACAGGAUACUACUUUUAUAACCAGAAGAACCAUCCAGAAAAUACAUGCCCUCUGGGAUGUGUUCUUGCCAACCACUUCCUACCUUGUUCUCUUUCUAGGGUAUCACAAGACUCUUCCCCAACCAGGAACAGCCCCAGACCUCUUCUCUCUGCUUAGACCCACCGGCCUUUCUCCCCCACUUCCCCCCUGCUUCUCCUAGGUUGCUACCCUGUUCUCUGCCUAGGUGUCCAUGCUUUCCAAAAGCCUGCUGGGUAUAGAUGUGCAGUGUGACUGUGAAGAGAAAGCACUUGUUAUUGGGGGGAAAUGAUAGACGGGGAAGGAGACUCAGACAUUUCAAGCAAGAAACAGACAAAUGAGGAAGGGAGUGGGUGGGAAGAGGACUCAGUUAAUAAUCCCAGUGCUGGGGAAGCAGAGAUAGCUAGACUUGUGGAGCCUGCUGGCAAGGCAGCCUGGCUAAGGAAACUCCUAACCCUGAGGGAGACCCUGUCUCAAAACGAAGGUAAAGGGUGACUAAGUACACCCAACCCUUCUGGCCUGCACAAGCAUACACACACACACACACACACACACACACACACACACACACACGUACAUGUGCACAUACACAGACACAUAUGCAGUAUGUACACGUGUACGUAUGCAGACAUGUAUACCCAUAUACUACACAUGCACCCACAUACUCAGAAAGGAAGCUGAAACCCAGGGAGAAGAGUGACUGGGUACCUCCAAGUCUGGCUUAAGCUGCGUGCCACUUCAAACUUUCAGCUUCUGCAGAAGAAUAUAUUUGGAUGCGGAGAGCUGAGGUUUGCCUCACGUUUUUAUUCCAUGAGGCAGACUUUCCUGUUCUGGUUCCUCAGCUGUCCAUGCUUCUGUGACCUCCUAAGAACUCAUAAUUACCAACUUCCUCUUCAAAUGGCUUGGUUUGGCAUAAAGCACCUAUUUUUAAACUGCCAAUAUCAGGUUGAUAAAUCAAAUAUGGGAGGUUGGGCCAUUCCAUGUGGAAACCUCUGCCUUCAGGUGAUUUGCAGCAUGGACCAGCCCUGGCAUGGGGAUCCCAGGCUCCUAGGGAAGCGGUCCUGGUGAGCAAUGGUCAGGCAGGCCCUCACCCGUGGCUCCCACAGUGGAGGAAGAGGUUCUUGGGAAAGCCCUAGUCCCCAAGUAUCAAGUUUCUUUCCGUUUUGCAUCACCUCAGCUCAGGAUGAGAGCAAGCACUCUCCCACACCAGACCUGUGGCUAAGGAUGGGAUGAUUUGUACCUUCUCUGUAUUUCUUUUCCUAUUUCCCAGUUUCUGUUGUUUUUCAGACAGGGUCUCACCAAGGAGCCCUGUUUGUCUUGGGACUUGCAAUAUAAACUAGGUUGACCUUGAACUCACAGAGCUCUUUCUCCCACUACCUCCUGAAUACUGUAAUUAAAGGUGUGUGCCACCAU